AUACGCAUCCCAAAAUUCUAUCAGUUCAUAUCAUUCCAAACUCCAACCCCAACAGAUCUCCAUGUAGGUUCACACCGUCGAGAGAUAUUAACACUACCACAUACACUCUAUGGUCAUCAUUCUCUAUACUCCAUCGGUCCUAAUCCAGGUAGCCCCAAUUGAAGUUGCCCUUGCCGGGACCGGUAGUUAGGAUAACACUUCAACCGUGGAUCCUACUAGUUGAGUCCAUCAGCCCCGACUUGGUGUUUAGCUACUCCGCACCGAACAUAUCCUCGUCCUCUGAGUCCUUCGGUCUAACCAUGUUUUCCUUGAUGAACGAACCUCCUAUCAUAGCCCUACUGAUUGUACUGGUAGUAUGCUCCCAUCCAUUAUAUCAUAGUGUGGUUCUUCUCGCACUUCUGCUCUUGUCACAACGAAACCGCCUUGUGGUAAUGGUGAUGUCGCAAGUUCCCCCUGGGCUCUGAGUAUGUGAUGUUUGGUUAGCCUAUGAUCUUCUUACAACCAAAACUAUAGCUCUGCACCCUUCUAGAUUAGCUCAUGAUCCCAGUAAUCUUGUACGUUACAACUAUUCUUCAGAUCGGUUCUCAUUUCCUUCAGGAAGCGGUGAAUCAGUUCUCGCCCCCUUAGAGAGUGCCCGACAAAUCCUCUUAGGGGGUUACAUCCUUAUUGUAUUCCCUUACAAUCAUGUCUCUUUGGCGGAUAUCCUAGAACUAGCCCUCUAUUAGAUAUAUGUCCUUCCUCGGUAAAUACCUUCAUUGACUUAUGACCUCAACUUGUUUCACUGCACCUCUAAUGUUCCUCCAAACCCAUGAUAUCCGCCACAACCUUCACGCUCUCGGUAGUUACAUUAGUCGGGUUUCCAUCUCUGGCUUUCCUCCAACCACUCCAACUCAUGUGUCUGGCGAUGGAACUUCAUUAAUGGGCGUCACCGAUGGGGUACCACCUUUCUCUUUAUGAUGCGCUGAGUCCGAGUGUAGUUCGGGUUCCACCAUGCAGGUCCACGAUACCCGUAAUUGUCGAAGACAUCUUUCAAGUAGACAUCCGAUCAGAACCAUAAUAGAAGCAUAGAUAUAGUGGAUGGUUUUGAAAUCGUUCACAACUUUCAGAAAAAUCAAAACUUUCACACGCUCUUUUCUUUUAGUGAAAACAAGUUUUUUUUUUUUUUUUUUUUUUUUUUGAAAACGUCGGAAAUGCCGAUCCCUUAGGACAGAACUAAGGGAUCUUAACCCGCUCUGAUACCAAUUGUAACAGCCCGAUCCCCCGGCGUCCGACCGGGGUUAUUGAAGGGGCGUUAUGGACACGUGUCUACUCAUUUAGACAACCCUACGUGUCCCGUUACUGGUCCCGAGAGACGAGCGCAUAACCUUCUUUGAAAUACCGUCACACCCACAUCCAUAUACUUCUACUUACAGUCCUGCGCACAGGGAAAAAUGGAAAUGGAGGGAGGGUGAGCAACAAGUUACUCAGUGAAGUGACUCUAGACCAGCCUGCCCGCAUGACACUCUAUACUACUCUAUGCGGGAACUAGGACCGACUAGCCACUACAAUCAGUUAAUGCAUUUUUAUCAUUUCCUAUCACCAUCUGUAAUUUCUACACACACUUCCAUUCAUUUCUAACAACCUAGUAAUCAAUCAAUACAAUGAUCUCACUCAUUGCCACACACGCCAACCCUAGACCUAACCGACUCAUCUUACCAGUCCGACUCGAUCCUAUGACUUCUUUAACUUCCUGUUACCCGACCAUGAGCUAAAACCCUACAAUGCACAUCCUUUUCAUCUUUUCAUCCUUUUCAUCUUUUCCUCAGUGGGUAGCCCCCCACUAGGCUUCUACCCCAUAUUCAUGUGGAUUGGCCACAUCUCCUAUGGGUGCUUCCAUAUUCAUGUGGAUUCGCCACAUCUCCUAUGGAUACCUAGCGUGGACUACUACCCCACCUACUUUCCUUAGACUCUCUAUAUGCUUUCCCACCCAUGCUUAACCUUAACAACAUUCUUUCAUACUUUUACUUAUCCUUUCACUUCCUUAUCGUUUUCACUUAACCCUUCCCAUUCCCAAUUACCUCCCUUUUCAUUCCUACUUGAACUUGGACUCAAUCACUAGACGCCACCCGUUAUCGGUGUCACCCACAAUACACAUCGCAUUCAAGUUCUACCUCAAAUACUUCGAUAAUCAAUGCUCAUCUAUCAUCCCAGCAUUUAUUUCUCUCUAGCAUCCUAACUUCAAUCACAACCACACAUGGGACAACACAACCUAACAGACAAGUAUCAACUACCAAUCAACCAUUACCACAACAAUUCAAUUCAGUUCAUCAAGUCCCAUUUAUCAAUAUGAGGGUUCUUAUGCAUCAUGAUCCAUUCAUCUAUCAUCCUAGCAAUACCAUGUACUAUCAACCUAACUCCCAAACAGGGCCUAAUCAAACCUAACUCCAACAUAUAGGAGUAUACAGAACCAUGAAAGAAGGUUGGGUUCGAAACACUACACCUUAGUCUAGAUCUGGAUCUGGAUCUGGAAACAAGGAUGAGGAGAUCUGAACAGAUCUGGAACAAGUAAACAAGAGAGAGACGAGAUCUGGUCACCACCACCACGGCACCGGCGAGGAGGAGGGAGAGAGAAGAGAGAUCACAGAGAGGGAGAGAAGAAGAAGAGAGAGACGGCGCAGGAGGGAGAGUGGUCGACGGCUAGGGUUUUCGGCCUCCGGGAAUUCUCUGCAGAGCUUCGCUUCAGAUUUGUGAUGAGACAAAAGAAGGUGGCUGCAGCUCCUUUUAUAGGAUGGAAGGAAGAAACUCUAGGUUUUUUGUCAAACGGGCCGUAGAGAAGCCCAUUUCUUUAUAAAAGUUUUUGGGUCAGGAACUGGGCCGUUACAGUAUAUGCAAAGGUAUCCAGGUUUCACCCGCUCCAAAGACUCAACUUCCAUCGAGGCCAGUAAAAAUAACUCAUUAGGGACGUUACUGAAAGGCCCCAUGUCUCGUCUUUUUCGGCAUAAAAAUUAGAGAAGUACAAAGAGCGUGAAUAAAAAAUAUGUAAUUUACAGAGACAAAACGAAAAGAAAAGAGGUGAAAUCUAUCUUUGAUUGCAGGUUCAGAGUAUAAAUAAGAGGUGGAAAACCUAGACGUCACAGUAGUUUUUGGAUAAGUAGGAACUCAGACCAUCCGAAAAUUUUGAAAAAAUAAAAGCGAAUAUUCGAUGAUUAAGGAUGGGUUGUUUGAUCAUUUUAACUUCUCCCAAAAGAAACGAUCUUCGUUGCUCUGGGUCCUGUCAAAUCUGAACUGACUAUCGCAAUGAUAUAUGGUGCCAAAGAUUGGAGUCACGUCUAAAUGUCUGAACCCUCGGAUUAAAAAAAUAUCAACAAUGGAGGAGUACCUCGACGAGAGCACCGCUGAUUUUGGACCAGUAGAUCGAGAAUAAUGAUUAUCGAUCUAACUUACAAAUCACAAGCGCAUCUCGUCAAGCUUCCGCCCAUUAAAGAUGACCAUGUGUCACUUAAUGGGUUGUGGUCAACUGUUGGAGAAGGAUUUAUCACAGAAAUCUGGCCUAGUAAAGGCCAAAUCGAAAUGAGAUAAAUUGGUAGUGAAGUCAUGAUCCAUCAGCAUAGUUUAGCUAUUGGUAGUGGAGGUUCUUCAACUUCAUUUUGUAUUGUGUUUUACUUAGCUUCAAGAGGAGGUGAGCACAUAUGCUGGAAUCUGAAGGAUUUUUGGGCGGGCUCUUCCUACCUCUUAAGAGAGAUGGUUUUAUGUUCAGACAGUCGGAUGAUAUAGCCUGUUGUUUGCUUUUAUUUUAUCAUUACAAUUUUCUUUGUAUAUAUCUCCUUUUAUAUC